CCGUAUUGGCGUGACUGACAUCUGGCCAACUGCCUAGCGGCGCGCGGGUCUCACCAACAAGUUGUACGGUCCAGAGGCAUGUCAGAAUACGAUGUGCCGACCAGCUCCGUGACUCCUCGGAAUUCGUAUGCUAGAAUGCUGUGGUUGUCUCUGUAGGCGAUGUCUAAGGGGUUAACACGGACCUUGAAAUUUACCCUCGUCAGAGGAGAGGCGCUACCCGCAAAGCUGACCACUAUGUGAGAGGCUCGCGGAGCAGUCCUACUGACUACCAGUUCGCUGAUUGUCGCUCUCGCCCCUGUACCUGCUGGAAUUUCGAACACCAGAGCACAGUCAUCCGCUGAUGCCAGAUGAGGGCGCCGGGUCCCAAUGGAUGAGGAGUCCAUUCUGGUAGGCGCCUGCGUCGCGGUCGUCACGCUCACCGUCGUGGUGCUGGUCGCCUGCUACGCCCGGGUGCUGACCCAGCUCUGCUGCACCAACAGCAGGAUCACCCCAUAGGAGUGUGCUGAGCUGCUGUCCACCAGCAUGUUGACAGAAGGCCUGGGAGCGGCCGCGGUGCUGGCCCUGGCUCUGGGCCUCCUUUUGGUGUCGGCCCUGGUGGUGUGCUACGCCUGCGUUCUGCGCCAGCUGUGCUGCCGGGCCGCCGCAGACGGCAAGCUGUGGC